GGGGACAUGGCUCAGCAGUUGAGAGCACUGGCUGUUCUUCCACAGGACCUGGGUUCAAUUCCCAGCAUCCACA
rfam:Mesocricetus auratus contig120996, whole genome shotgun sequence.